rnacentral:lncRNA from 1 species
CCUUCACAUGAAGAAACCAACCCCACAACUCAUCAAAAUCCUCAACCAACAGUUCUCAUCCCAUCUACCCUUAAUUUCUUAACUAUUAAGAAUUUUAAAAAAAAAAACCACGUGCUGACAAAUUUCACCGAAAACCACCGCAAAUAAGCACUUAUUUUUAAGUCUACAAAUUAUCCUCUGUUUUUUCUUUAACUCAACACCGCUUAACUCUGUUUUCAUCCAAAUGACUCUGUUUUCAUUAACCUUUCUUCCUAUUCACCACACCACCAUUACCAAUACUUUCCUUCUAAGAAAAUCAACAUUUUCUCAUACCCUUUUGCAUAAAAAUCAUAUUUCCAAUAACCCAAUUGUAAACUCCACCAACAAACACU